rnacentral:lncRNA from 1 species
AGCCUGAUCGUUGUUUAAACAAUUGAAAAAUAGAAAUUAUCAUAUCAAGAUAGGGAGACAUAGAAGGAUCACAGCAUCCUCUUCUUCUUGAUAUUGAUUGCAGCAUGUAAAUCAGCAUCAGUGACAUUUAUGACAUUGUAUAUAUAGGAGAUCUGGCCAAAAUAGAGAGAGGAAUUUGUUUGAUGCCUAUCAAAAACUUUAAAAAUGAUUGUAAAUUCACUGGAAAAGAAUGAGCUGAAGGGUUAAAAAUGAAAAUAACAGUUCAUGGCAGUAGGUUAAGCUGGUGAUGAAUUAUCCAUAUAGUAUCAUAGGGAUUGUUCUCAUUGCAUGUCAUUAUUGAUUCAAUGGAAAAGGAUAUCAAGACUACAGUAAUGAGGUUUGGAAACUGAAAUAACCAUGAAGGAGGCCAGUAGUAAUAAUAAAGUCCACACUAAAAAGUAAGGAAUAUGAAUGGGAAUUAUUACACUGAGAUUCAGUAUGAAAAAAUGCAACCUAAGGUACCUAAGGAAUCUAGAAUUUAUGGCUAUUAGCAAAAGUGAAAGGAAAUAAUGAUGGACAGUGGUUUAAGAUGUCUGUAAUAUCAUCUAGUGCCUAAAAAAUAUGUUUCAGGGAUAGACACUCAUAGAAGAAGGUAGUAAAGGGCAGCAGGGGCUGAGUUACAAGUCAGCUUGGAGAGCUAAGCCUACCUGCGGCUCUGACAAGUGAACCUGCACUACUGGAAGUGGUUUAGGAACAUAAGAAUUCCCAGCCCAUCAGGAGGAGAGCUUAAUAGAAGGCAGGCGUUGUGGCACUGCAGCAGAGUGAGCAGCACACAGCCUCCCCCAGGACCAGCCCCCCAGCUCUCCACCAUCUGUGCAGCUCUGACUUCCACAGUGUGUCCUUCAAUCCCAGGAGUGAUUUGUGACAGGGAAGUCAUCCUGGAAGAUCGAUAGACCUGCUGCACACUUGAGCCAGUUGUUUUGUCUUCAUUAGGAAGGAUCCAAGUUCACUGAGCUCACCUAUGCUAGGAUUUUGGCAAAUAAACUUGUUACCACAUAGCCA